UACGUAGGGUGCAAGCGUUAAUCGGAAUUACUGGGCGUAAAGCGUGCGCAGGCGGUCCGUUAAGACAGAUGUGAAAUCCCCGGGCUUAACCUGGGAACUGCAUUUGUGACUGGCGGACUCGAGUAUGGCAGAGGGGGGUAGAAUUCCUGGUGUAGCAGUGAAAUGCGUAGAGAUCAGGAGGAAUACCGAUGGCGAAGGCAGGUCUCUGGGCUGAUACUGACGCUCAUGCACGAAAGCGUGGGGAGCAAACAGG
rnacentral:rRNA from 1 species